UUGGAGGGCAAGUCUGGUGCCAGCAGCCGCGGUAAUUCCAGCUCCAAUAGCGUAUAUUAAAGUUGUUGCAGUUAAAAAGCUCGUAGUUGAAUUUCGGGGUUCUACCGUUGGUCGGGCUUUGUCUGUACUGGUGUGUAGAAUUUCUACCUAAAAAGGGAACCAUCAUGCUAUUAAUUUAGCGUGGUGGGAAACCAGGACCUUUACCUUGAAAAAAUUAGUGUGUUCAAAGCAGGCUUAUGUCUGAAUACAUUAGCGUGGAAUAAUAGAAUAGGACGGUGGUCCUGUUUUGUUGGUUUCUGAAUCACCGUAAUGAUUAAUAGGGAUAGUUGGGGGCAUUAGUAUUCAAUUGUCAGAGGUGAAAUUCUUGGAUUUAUUGAAGACUAACUUCUGCGAAAGCAUUUGCCAAGGAUGUUUUCAUUAAUCAAGGACGAAAGUUAGGGGAUCGAAGACGAUCAGAUACCGUCGUAGUCUUAACCAUAAACUAUGCCGACUAGGGAUCGGACGAUGUUAAUUUUUCUUGACUCGUUCGGCGCCUUACGGGAAAC
rnacentral:rRNA from 1 species